CCUACGGGAGGCUGCAGUGGGGAAUAUUGGACAAUGGGCGAAAGCCUGAUCCAGCCAUGCCGCGUGUGUGAAGAAGGCCUUCGGGUUGUAAAGCACUUUCAGUGGGGAAGAAAGCCUUGGGGCUAAUACCCUCGAGGAAGGACAUCACCCACAGAAGAAGCACCGGCUAACUCCGUGCCAGCAGCCGCGGUAAUACGGAGGGUGCGAGCGUUAAUCGGAAUUACUGGGCGUAAAGCGCGCGUAGGCGGUCUGAUAAGCCGGUUGUGAAAGCCCCGGGCUCAACCUGGGAACGGCAUCCGGAACUGUCAGGCUAGAGUGCAGGAGAGGAAGGUAGAAUUCCCGGUGUAGCGGUGAAAUGCGUAGAGAUCGGGAGGAAUACCAGUGGCGAAGGCGGCCUUCUGGACUGACACUGACGCUGAGGUGCGAAAGCGUGGGUAACAAACAGGAUUAGAUACCCUAGUAGUC
rnacentral:rRNA from 1 species